rnacentral:rRNA from 1 species
GACGAACGUUGGCGGCGUGCUUAACACAUGCAAGUCGAACGGAAAGGCCCUGCUUUUGUGGGGUGCUCGAGUGGCGAACGGGUGAGUAACACGUGAGUAACCUGCCCUUGACUUUGGGAUAACUUCAGGAAACUGGGGCUAAUACCGGAUAGGAGCUCCUGCUGCAUGGUGGGGGUUGGAAAGUUUCGGCGGUUGGGGAUGGACUCGCGGCUUAUCAGCUUGUUGGUGGGGUAGUGGCUUACCAAGGCUUUGACGGGUAGCCGGCCUGAGAGGGUGACCGGCCACAUUGGGACUGAGAUACGGCCCAGACUCCUACGGGAGGCAGCAGUGGGGAAUAUUGCACAAUGGGCGGAAGCCUGAUGCAACAACGCCGCGUGCGGGAUGACGGCCUUCGGGUUGUAAACCGCUUUCGCCUGUGACGAAGCGUGAGUGACGGUAAUGGGUAAAGAAGCACCGGCUAACUACGUGCCAGCAGCCGCGGUGAUACGUAGGGUGCGAGCGUUGUCCGGAUUUAUUGGGCGUAAAGGGCUCGUAGGUGGUUGAUCGCGUCGGAAGUGUAAUCUUGGGGCUUAAACCCUGAGCGUGCUUUCGAUACGGGUUGACUUGAGGAAGGUAGGGGAGAAUGGAAUUCCUGGUGGAGCGGUGGAAUGCGCAGAUAUCAGGAGGAACACCAGUGGCGAAGGCGGUUCUCUGGGCCUUUCCUGACGCUGAGGAGCGAAAGCGUGGGGAGCGAACAGGCUUAGAUACCCUGGUAGUCCACGCUGUAAACGGUGGGUACUAGGUGUGGGGUCCAUUCCACGGGUUCCGUGCCGUAGCUAACGCUUUAAGUACCCCGCCUGGGGAGUACGGCCGCAAGGCUAAAACUCAAAGGAAUUGACGGGGCCCCGCACAAGCGGCGGAGCAUGCGGAUUAAUUCGAUGCAACGCGUAGAACCUUACCUGGGUUUGACAUGGAUCGGGAGUGCUCAGAGAUGGGUGUGCCUCUUUUGGGGUCGGUUCACAGGUGGUGCAUGGCUGUCGUCAGCUCGUGUCGUGAGAUGUUGGGUUAAGUCCCGCAACGAGCGCAACCCUUGUUCACUGUUGCCAGCACGUUAUGGUGGGGACUCAGUGGAGACCGCCGGGGUCAACUCGGAGGAAGGUGGGGAUGACGUCAAGUCAUCAUGCCCCUUAUGUCCAGGGCUUCACGCAUGCUACAAUGGCUGGUACAGAGAGUGGCGAGCCUGUGAGGGUGAGCGAAUCUCGGAAAGCCGGUCUCAGUUCGGAUUGGGGUCUGCAACUCGACCUCAUGAAGUCGGAGUCGCUAGUAAUCGCAGAUCAGCAACGCUGCGGUGAAUACGUUCCCGGGGCU